AUGCCAUCACAAAGCCAGUCACUACCUGAGGAACCAAAAGAGGAUUCCAGAACAGGCUAGAGGAGGCCAAGAAGGUCUAUGAAAGCAUUGGAGGGGCAAGCAACCAGCACAAAGAGAUAUUUGAAGGGGAAGAGACGUGGGAUAGAACAAGCAAGCAAUUCAUAUCCAUUUUAAAGGCACUGUGCUAGGCACUUGUAAUACAAAGAGAAAACAACAAAACAGUGACUGCCUUCACAGAGCAUACACACUAUUGGGAGUGAAGAGCAGGAGGUACAACAGAAUAUGAGAAAUAUCUGUUUGAGCACCUACCAUAUCCAAAGCAUUGAGCAAGAUGUACAAGAGACAUGCUGGUCCCCUUGAGGAGUUUAUGGUCCUGUACAGGAGAUUGGAGGAGAACUGACAUUUCAAUGGAUCUAUGAUCUCUGUGUUGUGGGUAUAAAAACAUCCACUUAAAAUGAAAAAAAAAUAAAAUAAAUACUGCAAUCAAGAUAUUAAAAACACCCAAAGAGAAAAAAGAAUCUCAAUGUUUUUCCCUGAAAACCCAUUCUUCUACGAAACUUGCCUAUUUCUGUUUAAGGCUUCACCAUACUUUCAGGCUCCCAGGUUCAUAACCUCAACAUUAUCCUCCUACACCCUACUUUCCCUCACUUUAUGUAUUCAAUAAGUUACCAAUUUCUGCUUUCACAAUACCUCCCACUUCCUGAUUCUUUUUAUUUAUACCAUACCACCUUAGUUCUUCACUUAAUCAUCUCUCUCCAAGACUUCUCCCCACAAGUGUGCUGUUAUUUAACAACCAGAUCUUUGGAGAUGGGGAGUACAUAAUCAAUUGUUAGUAAACAUUUAUUGAGCAUCUACUAUGUUCCAGGAUUUGUAUCAAGUACUGGGGAAACAAAUAUAGAAAGAAAGAAAAAACACAGUCCUUCAUGGAAGCUAAAAAUUGGAGAAGGGAGAUUAGUGAGAUGGGGGGGAGGGGAGGUGGAGAAAAGCCCAGGGAAUGUAAGCUGGUACUAAAUUGGGGAAAUAGAUCCCAAGUUUAGGAACUCUCUUUAAAUGGAGGUUUUGAAAGAAGUUUUUCACCCUAACUUCUAGCUCUCCAACCACAGGGACAGAAUGUGCAGAGGAUAAGGAGGAGUAAGUAUCAAAGCUAAUAUAGUCUUGAAGAAUGAAAUGUACAUUAAAAACUUUCAAGUUUAAUCUUCAUUAUUAACACUUUU